ensembl:lncRNA
GAAAUAAAAGUGCUUAUAUAGUUCUAGUUCAACUGCAAACAUAGUAUAUUGAAUUCAAACUCAUGCCAUGCUAGGUUAGAAACUGUAAAUAUUUCAGUAUGUGCCAGGAACAUCUUCAAGAAAAAAAUGUCUAUUAUUGUAAAGGCACAGUUGUUAUAAUAGGCAACAACAGGAAAGUGUGUUUAUAAAAAAAUAAAUAAAGAUAUGAAAGAGCUCAUCCUUUGUCCCUGCGAUUUAGUUACUGAGAUGGACAAAACCCCUGAACAGUAAUGAUACAAUGGAAGUUGGUCAAAAGGAGAAGCUCCUUUGGACCAGAUUCGGUGCUCUUCAGCGAGUUUCAGGACCUGUAAAUGCCACUCAAUGAACAUGAUGGACAGUUAAAGAAUAACAAUUUUGCAGAACGAGUGUUAACUAUGACCCGAGGGUAAAGACAGACUUCUGACCGUGCACCCAAAUGUGAGAAGGCGGUCAUUAUCAGGAUGUCUCCAGCAUAACAAAGGUAAAGUGAGUUCACAGUGAUUCCAGAGGAGGGUGUUUUAGUACUAGUAGACCAAAUACUGAAGAAAAAAGAAUUCCUGAUGCAAGGAGGGGUACAUGCAUACUCAUGCCCAGGAUGAGAAGAAGGUCAUGAUGUUAAGCUGGCAAAGGAGUGGGUUUGGUAAAGGAAAUGG